CCCUUAGAUGUCCUGGGCUGCACGCGCGCUACACUGAUGUGUCCAGUAAGCACCUAACCUCUUCCGAAAGGAACGGGUAACCUUUGCAAAGCACAUCGUGAUGGGGAUAGAUUAUUGCAAUUAUUAGUCUUGAACGAGGAAUUCCUAGUAAGCACAAGUCAUCAGCUUGUGUUGAUUACGUCCCUGCCCUUUGUACACACCGCCCGUCGCUCCUACCGAUUGAGCAAUCCGGUGAAUACUUCGGACCGGUUACUUGGUUGGUUCGCUAACCUUGUGACUGGAAAGUCGAGUGAACCUUAUUGCUUAGAGGAAGGAGAAGUCGUAACA
rnacentral:rRNA from 1 species